AACUCAUGGGCAAAGUGGCCCGCAUUGGGCCUUGUUUUGACGUAGAGCAUGGUGAGGAUUUUCGCAUCCGCUGCGAUCCCGACAUUUUGUCAUGUAGACAGAUGCGGUACUCCGAAAAUGAAUUCGAUAUUCCUAAACUCACCACCACCUCGAGCGAGGUACGGCACGAUUACACUCACUCUACGCUACGCGUCUUGUCAUUUCCAAGCAAUGUUCUGCUGCUGCUGCUGCCUCAACUCAACACGCGCAUCACGUGAUCCCCUAUCCUGCUCGGUCAUUGGCGAUCCCGGCGCCCGACCAGCGUCGUACUACGCUGGGACGCGUUCCAUUCACUAGCGUUCCGUCCUUCUCCCUCUAGCCAUCCGCUGGCUAAGGAUACACCAUCAUUUGUACGUCGAUCUAAGGAGGACGCAAACAAGUUAGAAAAUGUUUGAGCGACAGCCGCGUACCCAGGCCAUCGCUUUCGGCUCUCAGAAAACGAAGAUGGGACGAACUUACAUCCCCGUGCGCAGGAGCAAGAUAAAUAAUACAUGCUUAGAUACAUACGCACCUUAUAUACUCCGUAAAUACAUAUACACGUACCCAUACAUGAAUGCACACUACGUAAGAAGGCUUUUUCGUUAGAUCCAGAGUUGUUGCAGCUCUCUGCUUAUGGGAGUUUCUUGCCUCUAACGAAACCUGCCCGAAGAUACUUCACUUACUACGCCGCUUCCUACAUACACAAGUCGAAUAGGAAUUUCGAACAUUCUUUUUUUUCUCCUCGUCUUUUCAAUGCCAGCUCUUUCCUAUCUAUGGCCAGGCUCUUACUUGUGAAAUUAUGAUCUUCACCAUAAACAAUGAUCCACGGUGUUAGCUUUGGAAAAACUUCUUCGAUUAUUGUUAUUCUCCGUUAGAUUUUUUACUUUCUUCAGGCUCCAGAUGUCAGAUUAAAAGAAAAUAUUAUACGAAUUAUAUCCAAAUUAGACUUACAAACUAGACCACAGGAUAGUUAUCCAUGGAGUUGUUUGACCUUUCGAAUUUUAUCAAUUCCAGUUGUUGAAUAAUCAAGAUUGCCAGACAAUUGCAUAAUUAUGGGGAAGCAUAGAAUAUUCAUAGAGAGAAAUGUGUAAUCGUGAAAUGAAGCGUUAUUUUAUUUACAAAGAAGCUUUGUACAGCACAUAAUUUGUGGUGGUAGGUAGUAGUAGUAACAUUGGUUUACAUUGAAUUGCAUAACUUCAAUAAAAUAUGACUAGAUCAAAGAAUAUCAAUGAUGAAUAUAGUCGGGCAUGUGUAACGCUGCGGCAAAAAUUAUUCGAGUAGUUACUUAACAAUGCUUGAUAAUAACAUUAUUUGAAACAAACGGAUGUAUGUAGCAAAUCAAAAUUACCUAUUUUACAGUAGUGAAUGGCUUUCAGCACAACCUACAGAGCGGGAACUUCAUGCACUCUCACACCAUCGUUUACUCACACCCCUCACGAUUAUAAUUCAAACAAAUUCUUAAAAUUAAUUUCGUAAUAAUAAAUUUCCGUACUAUCUUUAAUUAUGGCUAAACAGAUUAACACUCUAUGGAGGGUUUAAUGGCAACAAUAUUAACGUUGAUACCAAAUUGAAAACUGAUUCAAAAUCUGUGUAAAUAUUUUGUGUAUAAAGAAAUACAAAAAUUUGACAAAUAAAAGUUAAAAACAAAAUAUCGCAUGGGCUAUAAACUAAGCAUUUUUAAGUAAUACUCCGCAACGAAGAAUGAUUCUAGAAUAGCAGUCUUUUCAACUCUAGAGUCUCUGCCACUUCUCACAGAUAUAAGCUUAUUUAAAUGCCACAUCGCUCUGAUAUUUAAAAUGCUUAAGUCUUGCAUGUUUUUUUGCAAAGAUUAUGUUAUCUUACAGUGUUGAUUACUGAAUAAAAGGAGUGAUCUCCGUGCGCGAUGAAACACGGAUGCAGAUACGGAAUUAAUAUCGAUUGAAUCG